rnacentral:rRNA from 1 species
GCAAGCGUUAUCCGGAAUUAUUGGGCGUAAAGCGUUUGUAGGCGGGCGAGUGUGUUUAAUGUUAAAUCUUAAAGCUCAACUUUGAAAUUGCGUUAAAAACUGCUUGUCUUGAGUAUGGUAGGGGUAAAGGGAAUUCCCAGUGUAGCGGUGAAAUGCGUAGAUAUUGGGAAGAACACUAAACAGCGAAGGCACUUUACUAGGCUAAUACUGACGCUGAGAAACGAAAGGUAAGGUAGCGAAACGGAUUAGAUACCCGUGUAGUCUUACCCGUAAACUAUGGACACUAAACGGUAAAUUUUUAAUUUACUGUUAAAGCUAACGCGUUAAGUGUCCCGCCUGGGGAGUAUGCUUGCAAAAGUGAAACUCAAAGGAAUUGACGGGGGCCCGCACAAGCGGUGGAGCAUGUGGUUUAAUUCGACGGUACACGAAGAACCUUACCAGGAUUUGACAUGCUAGAUAGUUGCUUGAAAGAGUAACGUGCCGUAAGGAAUCUAGACACAGGUGGUGCAUGGCUGUCGUCAGUUCGUGUUGUGAAAUGUUGGGUUAAGUCCCGCAACGAACGCAACCCUUGUCUUUAGUUAUUUUCUAAAGAGACUGCCUGUAAUAAACAGGAGGAAGGUAAGGAUGAGGUCAAGUCAUCAUGCCCCUUAUGUCCUGGGCUACACACGUGCUACAAUGGGAAAGACAAUGAGCUGCAAAUCUGUAAAUUUAAGCAAAUCUCUUAAACUUUCUCGUAGUUCGGAUUGUGGGCUGCAACUCGCCCACAUGAAGUUGGAAUCGCUAGUAAUCGCCAGUCAGCUAUAUGGCGGUGAAUCCGUUCCCGGGCCU